CGCCGGUUCCCCGCCAAGUCCCCUUCUGUGCGCGCCGGGACUGAGGAGGGCGAGGGCGGCCUCGGGUAGGUCCCGCCGCUGCCGGAGAUGCGAGCCUGGGGGUGUAAGCCCUGGUAGGUUCGAGCCCCCGGGGAUGUGAGCCCCGGCGGGUUUCCUCGCUGUCCUCAGCUCGGGCGCGAUGUAGCGCUCUGACCGCGGGAGAUGCGCUGGGAUCCCCACCUGAGCACUGGGUCCCGCGGCGCUCCUUGCCCUCCGGCAGCCUCUCCCGGUGACGGGGCGACGCUCCCUACCCUGCCUCUCCCUGAGGAGAGCUCUGGUUGUAGCCAAACUCUCUUCGGGUGUGUGCAGCUAGGCAUCUCCAGGCUCCGACCCGGCAAGCAGAGAGAGUUGUCUUCCCUGAUAUCCCGCCCUCGAAAGGCGGCGGAGGCCUCCGGUAUCCCGCCUGGGGCUGGUGGUGGUGGGAACGGGAGCAGAGCGGUCUCGGCCCCACGCAGCCCGCAUUCCAGCAGAGUGUACACCGAGUCUGAACAGACACUGCAAACCAGGAAUGCUCUGUGCAUCCAUUUUGCCUGUGGGCGUCCCGAUGUGAGUGCCAGAGCAGCCCGCGCACUCUUGGCUGCGAUUCUGGAGCCCGGCAGGGUAGGAAACAGUGAAAGCUGGUGGGAUGCGGAUUGUGCAGAAACACCCACACAACUCAGAUGCCAAAGAGGAAAAAGAUAAGGAUGUCCAAGACAGGGAAACCAGCAGGUCCCUUGGGCUAUUGUGUCAGUGGAAGCAGCCCUGAAGGAGUGAACUGGUACUCUGUAAAAGCAUCUGUCUUCUAUAUAUCCUCUUCUUGGACAGAAUUCAAAUUUCUCCCACCGUAUUUCUAUCUACCUUUAUUUUCCCCUCUUUCUGUGGCCUGAUUCUGUUACCUCUGUGAUUACCUCUGUGAACUGAUAUGGUUGCACAAAAGAGGUUAUGUUCAUAGAUUGUAUUGUCAUUUUACACUUGACCAUGUAAAAAAUGAAAUUUGAUUAAAUGUAUGGAUAUAAUGGAUAUGACUGAGAGGUUUUUAUUCUUGUCUUUGGCCUUUGAACUCUUGUUACUCAGGUAUGGAGCUUGGGAGGCAACUGGCCUUAAAAAUGAAAUUUCUGGGGGAAAUGCAAUGGAAAAGCAACCUGGCUGUGAAUACUGUGCUUGUGGUUUCUGGGAAAGAUGCAAAUUGCAGCAAACAUUGGGUCACCCCAUGGUCAUUUUAAAGUUUUGUGUGACUAACUUUUUCCUUACUUGGCUAAAUAUUCCAAAGGUUAAAAGAAAGUUCUGCUGGAAAAAGACUGUCAAAAAUUGCAACUAUAAUUUUUUAAUAUUAUUAAGCAUAGUGCUGAACCUAGUGCAAUUAGGGAAAUAGCUUCCUACCUUCUCCAAAAUAUUUUUAUUUCCCAAAAAGAUUAUAUGCUUAGUGCUUAGGCUUUUUUUAAUACCUUCCCUCUUCUUAUCUUUAUUAUUUUGGACUUUAAUUUCCUUCACAGUUAAGGGAAUAGCUUCUUAAUAAUGUUACACUCUUCUUUACAUAAGUGGCAUUGCCUUAAAUGCAUUUUCCUACUUUAUUACUCAUCUUUGUGUCUCAAUCUUUUGCCAUAGGGUUUUUAUGAUUAGCAGAUGCUCAAGUCUGUUUAGGUUUAUAUAUACAUAAUUUGAUUAAUUACAAAACCUGAAAACGAUAUUAGCUGUGUUCAUGUGAUUUUUCAGGACAAUACCUUUUGCAGAUGACCAGUUACUUUGAGAAGUAGAAAAGUAAUUGCUAUGACCUCUCUUGAGCUCUAUCAAACACCUGUGCAGUAACAGACUUAAGUCUGUAAAUAUGUACACAGUAUAGAAUAUGUAAUACUGAUUUUCAAAUGCAGAGCUACUGUAAAUUAAGAAAAUAGGCUAUGAAUAUCUCCAUUUAAGAACUGAAGGUACCUGUGAAUGUAGGGAGUGGAGAAAAAGCUAGGCAAGAUUAUGAAUUAAGCAUUCUCAUACAGGAAGAGGAAAGCCUUCAAAAAAUUGCUUUAUGCUUCCAAUAUUUCUUGAUGAUUGAGGCAGUAAGUUGAUAAAUCUAUCAGUGUAAGUGCUAGUUCUGACAUUAUAUGGAUAGCUCUUUUCAUAUUCCUGAAGUACUGUGUACAUGUGUGAAAAAACUAAAAAAGAUCUGAUAUUUCUCCCUCUCAAAGUGAAUAAAAGCUAAUGCCAUCCAGCUCA
rnacentral:lncRNA from 1 species